GCUGGCGGAGUGCUUAAUACAUGCAAGUCGUGCGAGAAAGUCAUCUUCGGAUGGUGAGUAGAGCGGCGCACGGGUGAGUAACACGUAAGUAACCUGCCUCUAAAUUCAGGAUAACCUUGCUAACGUGAGGCUAAUACUGGAUGUGGUCUGAGAGUCGAAUGAUUUUCAGAUUAAAGGUGACCUCUUCUUGAAAGUUAUCGUUUAGAGAUGGGCUUGCGGUCCAUUAGUUAGUUGGUAGGGUAACGGCCUACCAAGGCGACGAUGGAUAGCCGACCUGAGAGGGUGAUCGGCCACAUUGGGACUGAGAUACGGCCCAGACUCCUACGGGAGGCAGCAGUAGGGAAUUUUGCCCAAUGGACGAAAGUCUGAGGCAGCAACUCCGCGUGAGGGAUGAAUGCUUUCGGGUUGUAAACCUCUGUUGAGUGGGAAGAAAAAUUUUAAUGCUAAUAUCAUUAAGACAUGACGGUACCAUUCGAGGAAGUUCCGGCUAACUACGUG
rnacentral:rRNA from 1 species